CUGCACGAUCCCGAACGGCGCGAGCCGGCCGCGUUUCGCGGGGUCGGGGUCCCACAACCUGCCGUGCAGGUACGUCGGUUCCAGCCCGUCCGUGCUGG
rnacentral:tRNA from 1 species